UACGUAGGGGGCGAGCGUUGUCCGGAAUUACUGGGCGUAAAGAGCACGUAGGCGGCUUGUUAAGAUGGGCGUGAAAUCCCCGGGCUCACCUCGGGGGGGUCGUCCGUGACUGGCAGGCUGGGGUCUGGGAGAGGCGAGUGGAAUUCCCGGUGGAGCGGUGAAAUGCGUAGAGAUCGGGAGGAACACCAGUGGCGUAGGCGACUCGCUGGGCCAGUACCGACGCUGAGGUGCGAAAGCGUGGGGAGCGAACCGG
rnacentral:rRNA from 1 species